UACGGAGGGUGCGAGCGUUGUCCGGAAUCACUGGGCGUAAAGGGCGCGUAGGUGGCGCGGGCAGUCAACGGUGAAAGUUCGGGGCUCAACGCCGAGUCGGCCGUCGAUACUCCCGUGCUCGAGCACUGUAGAGGCAGGUGGAAUUCCGGGUGUAGCGGUGGAAUGCGUAGAGAUCCGGAAGAACACCGACGGCGUAGGCAGCGCCCUGGCUGUGAAUAAAGCUGACACUGAGGCACGAAAGCGUGGGGAGCGAACAGG
rnacentral:rRNA from 1 species